rnacentral:rRNA from 1 species
AUGGGAACGCGAAGAACCUUACCUAGACUUGACAUCUCCUGAAUAGUGUAGAGAUACAUGAAGCCCUUCGGGGCAGGAAGACAGGUGGUGCAUGGUUGUCGUCAGCUCGUGUCGUGAGAUGUUGGGUUAAGUCCCGCAACGAGCGCAACCCUUAUUACUAGUUGCUACCAUUAAGUUGAGCACUCUAGUGAGACUGCUCGGGUUAACCGGGAGGAAGGCGGGGAUGACGUCAAAUCAUCAUGCCCCUUAUGUCUAGGGCAACACACGUGCUACAAUGGUGAGUACAGAUAGAUGCGAUACCGCAAGGUGGAGCCAAACUCUAAAACUCAUCCCAGUUCGGAUUGUAGGCUGCAACUCGCCUACAUGAAGUUGGAGUUGCUAGUAAUCGCGAAUCAGAAUGUCGCGGUGAAUACGUUCCCGGGUCUUGUACACACCG